AAAUAGAGGAAGCAAGGUAAUGAGCACAAAAACUGAAUCGGAUCUCUAAGCAUUCCCUCUCUGAUGCCUUCUGGUUUUGAUUUGGGGGCAUGGUUCCACGGCAUAAGG